GCUGCCUCUAAACUACCCGUCAGGAAAAAUAAAAUCUAUAAGGUAAUCGUAGUCUAGGAGCCAUCAAUCCCCAAAUGCUUCUCUUAGAAAACGAAUGCCAACAAUUUAGCUAAACAUCUUCCUUGGAAGUGAGCCAUUUCCCAUGUCUCUCUGUUCUCCAAACCGCGAUGAAAUUUCAACCUGCCCAACACGAUUACUGGUCCACCUAGAAAUGCCGUGGAGCGAUUUAAGAGCCUCGGAAAUUUCCUUUAAGACUAGUCUCACUCUGUUGCCCAGGCUGGAGUGCAGUGGCGCGAUCUCAGCUUACUUCAGCCUCCGCCUCCCGGUUUCAAGUGAAUUCUCCAGCCUCAACUUCACAAGUAGCUGGGAUUACAGGGCAUUCAAGCAGCCCUGAGGAGAGGUCCACAUGGUGAGCCACUGAGGGCCUUGCCAAGAGCCAGCACCAACGGUCCAGGUUUGGAGUGUACCACCUUGGAAGUGAAUCUUCCAGUCCAGUCAAGCCUUCAGAUGACUUCAGAACCGUCCAUGUAAGCCACUCUUGGAUUCCUGACCCACAGAAACUGUUGGAGUAAGUGAUGUUUCUGAAGCACCAAUGAAAAUGAAGUCCUGAAGUCCUGUGCUCAAUAUGAAAUGUUGGAAGUUAGAAGAAAAAAACAAAACUUGGAUCCAAUCUCAAGGCACUUUUUGUUUAAUGGGAAGAAGUGGAUUAUUUUAAAAGCUACAAAUAAAGUUACAUAAAAGUAGCAAA
rnacentral:lncRNA from 1 species